rnacentral:lncRNA from 1 species
AGAAGAUUUGAUGUGAGAAUCAUUCAAAAGCAAAUAAAAUAGGAAAAAGCUGAUGAAUAGCAAACAGGUGACAUAGACCUAUAUGAAGCUUUGGCAGUUCAAAGGGUCAGAGAGACCCCUCAAAGAAAGAUACUGGCCUUGUUGAACAGCUGGACUGACAGGCCCAAGUGAAUGAACACCCAUGCCCCUGGAAACUGCAUCAGAGGAGAAAACAGAGAAACUUCCUUUGAGCCUGACUGGGUAUUCAGUGACCAUCAGAUCAUUUCAUUUGACCAUAAGCUUCUUGAGUACAAGAACUUACUCAUCUUUAUAUC